rnacentral:rRNA from 1 species
GGUGAACGCUGGCGGCGUGCCUAAUACAUGCAAGUCGAACGACACUUCAUUAUCACCGUGUGCUUGCACUCACCGAUUAAGGGUUGGGUGGCGAACGGGUCAGUAACUAGUGGGCAAUCUGCGAUAACGAGGGGGAACACACUUUAAUACAGCAUAUGAUAUAGCGUAAAAAUCGGUAGAGCUUGGUAACUAUCUCGAAGGAAGCUAUCCAAGUCGGAUUAGCUAGUUGGCAGGGUAAAGGCCCACCAAGGCGAGGAUCCGUAGCUGGUCUGAGAGGAUGAUCAGCCACACUGGAACUGAGACACGGUCCAGACUCCUACGGGAGGCAGCAGUAGGGAAUAUUCCACAAUGGGCGAAAGCCUGAUGCAGCAAUGCCGCGUGGGUGAAGAAGGUCUUCGGAUCGUAAAGCCCUUUUGUUAGGGAAGAAAAGGCGUAAGAUUAUCCCCCCACGUUUUGACGGUACCUAACCAGUAAGCCACGGCUAACUUCGUG